AGUUUGAUCCUGGCUCAGGACGAACGCUGGCGGCGUGCCUAAUACAUGCAAGUCGAGCGGACUAAUGGGAGCUUGCUCCCAGAAGUUAGCGGCGGACGGGUGAGUAACACGUGGGCAACCUGCCCUGUAGAUCGGGAUAACACCGAGAAAUCGGUGCUAAUACCGGGUAAUCGAUCGAACCGCAUGGUUCGGUUGUAAAAGAUGGCCUCGGCUAUCACUAUAGGAUGGGCCCGCGGCGCAUUAGCUAGUUGGUAAGGUAACGGCUUACCAAGGCGACGAUGCGUAGCCGACCUGAGAGGGUGAUCGGCCACACUGGGACUGAGACACGGCCCAGACUCCUACGGGAGGCAGCAGUAGGGAAUCUUCCGCAAUGGACGAAAGUCUGACGGAGCAACGCCGCGUGAGUGAUGAAGGGUUUCGGCUCGUAAAGCUCUGUUGUUAGGGAAGAACAAGUGUCGUUCAAAUAGGGCGGCACCUUGACGGUACCUAACCAGAAAGCCACGGCUAACUACGUG
rnacentral:rRNA from 1 species